rnacentral:rRNA from 1 species
AGGGCAUACGGUGGAUGCCUAGGCGCCAGGAGCCGAAGAAGGACGCGGUAAGCUGCGAAAAGCCACGGGGAACUGCAAGCGAGUAUUGAUCCGUGGAUAUCCGAAUGGGGAAACCCGGCCAUCGUAAUGGAUGGUCAUCCGCAAGGAAGGGAACCCGGGGAACUGAAACAUCUAAGUACCCGGAGGAAAAGAAAUCAAACGAGAUGCCCACAGUAGCGGCGAGCGAAGAGGGCAGAGCCCAAACCUGUAAGCUACGGCUUAUGGGGGUUGAGGACUGACGGAAUUAAGGCCAGGCUUAGCUGAACUACCUGGGAAGGUAGGCGAUAGAAGGUAAGAGCCCUGUAAGCGAAAGGCAGAGCCUUAAGGUCAGUAUCCAGAGUACCACGGAGCACGAGGAAUUCUGUGGGAAGCAGGGGGGACCACCCUCCAAGGCUAAAGACUAACUGGCGACCGAUAGCGCAUAGUACCGUGAGGGAAAGGUGAAAAGAACCCCGGGAGGGGAGUGAAAUAGUACCUGAAACCGUAUGUCUACAAGCAGUCGGAGCGAAAGCGACGGCGUGCCUAUUGAAGAAUGAACCAACGAGUUAUCUGCACUAGCGAGGUUAAGUGGAAGACACGGAGCCGUAGCGAAAGCGAGUCUGAAAAGGGCGGCGAGUUAGUGUAGGUAGACCCGAAACCGCAGUGAUCUACCCAUGUCCAGGUUGAAGCGCAGGUAAAAAUGCGUGGAGGACCGAACCGGUGAGCGUUGAAAAGCUUUCGGAUGAGAUGUGGGUAGGGGUGAAAUUCCAAUCGAACGCGGAGAUAGCUGGUUCUCCCCGAAAUAGCUUUAGGGCUAGCCUCAGGUAGUAAGUAUAGGCGGUAGAGCACUGAUCGGGCUAGGGGCCAUAAAGGUUACCGAACCCUGUCAAACUCCGAAUGGAUAUACUGCAGAGCCUGGGAGUCAGACUACGAGUGAUAAGAUCCGUGGUCAAAAGGGAAACAGCCCAGACCACCGGCUAAGGUCCCAAAUGCCGUACUAAGUGGAAAAGGAUGUGGGGAUUCAUAAACAACCAGGAUGUUGGCUCAGAAGCAGCCACCAUUUAAAGAGUGCGUAAUAGCUCACUGGUCGAGAGUCCCUGCGCCGAAAAUUUCCGGGGCUAAAGUACGGAACCGAAGCCGUGGCUGUGUACUUAGGUGCACGGGGUAGGGGAGCGUUGCCACAGGGGUGAAGCUGGUCUGGAAAGACUGGUGGACUUGUGGGAAGUGAGAAUGUUGGUAUGAGUAGCGAAAAGAAAGGUGAGAAUCCUUUCCACCGAAAGCAUAAGGAUUCCUGAGCAACGAUCGUCGUCUCAGGGUAAGUCGGGACCUAAUCCGAGGCAAAGAGCGUAGGAGAUGGACAACAGGUUGAUAUUCCUGUACCGGCAGUAAUUGUUUGAGCGAAGGAGUGACACAGAAGGGCAGGCAGGCGCGAGACUGGAUUGUCGCGUGCAAGCGUGUAGGGUAGUGUACAGGCAAAUCCGUACACUGAAAGCCUGAGGCGUUACGCGGAGCGAGCAGAGAUGCGAGCGAAGCUGCUGAUCCCACACUGUCGAGAAAAGCUUCUAGUGAGAGAGCUGCCGCCCGUACCGUAAACCGACACAGGUAUGCGGGGAGAGAAUCCUAAGGUGCGCGGGAGAACCCUCGUUAAGGAACUCGGCAAAAUGUACCCGUAACUUCGGGAUAAGGGUAGCCGUCUUGGUGAAGGAACUUGCUUCUGGAGCUAAAGGCGGUCGCAGAGAAGAGGCCCAAGCGACUGUUUACCACAAACACAGGUGCCUGCUAAAGCGAAAGCUGACGUAUAGGUGCUGACACCUGCCCAGUGCUGGAAGGUUAAGGAAGGAUGUCCGGGCAACCAAAGCAUUCGACCGAAGCCCCAGUGAACGGCGGCCGUAACUAUAACGGUCCUAAGGUAGCGAAAUUCCUUGUCGGGUAAGUUCCGACCCGCACGAAAGGUGUAACGAUUUGGGCACUGUCUCAACGAGGGACCCGGUGAAAUUGAAAUACCUGUGAAGAUGCAGGUUACCCGCGACUGGACAGAAAGACCCCAUGGAGCUUUACUGUAACCUGACAUUGGGUUUUGUUGUAUUACGUACAGGAUAGGUGGGAGGCUUAGAAGGCUGGACGCUAGUCUGGCUGGAGCCGGCGUUGGGAUACCACCCUUGAUACAACGGAAUUCUAACCGAGAGAGUAACGAAAUCCGGGACAGUGUCAGGCGGGCAGUUUGACUGGGGCGGU